GUAGGGGGCAAGCGUUAUCCGGAUUUACUGGGUGUAAAGGGAGCGUAGACGGCACGGCAAGCCAGAUGUGAAAGCCCGGGGCUCAACCCCGGGACUGCAUUUGGAACUGCUGAGCUAGAGUGUCGGAGAGGCAAGUGGAAUUCCUAGUGUAGCGGUGAAAUGCGUAGAUAUUAGGAGGAACACCAGUGGCGAAGGCGGCUUGCUGGACGAUGACUGACGUUGAGGCUCGAAAGCGUGUGGAGCAAACAGGAUUAGAUACCCUGGUAGUCCACGCCGUAAACGAUGACUGCUAGGUGUCGGGUGGCAAAGCCAUUCGGUGCCGCAGCUAACGCAAUAAGCAGUCCACCUGGGGAGUACGUUCGCAAGAAUG
rnacentral:rRNA from 1 species